GACAAUGCUGAACUCACUGUCAACUCGUGUGACUUCUAGGAUGUCUUGCCUGACUAGUUAAAUCUACACAAACUCUUCUGUAGCAGUGUGCCGGUCGGUCUGUAGGUCACUGCAAUGCAGAGUUGGAGAAACAGCAUGAAAUAAUCUGUGACUGAGCACUGAGCACCUAGGAUGUUCCAUUUCUGGUACCAAAGUGAUUAGUUUUCUCACUUCAGUGCCACCACUCUACAAAACCUGGAACCUCAUAUUUUGCAGUGAUUGGAGAGCCCUGAUAAGGUUAUUUUGUGGUUGGAAGAUACAACAACACCCUUCUCCUUUCCUUCUGCCUGGCAUUUUCCUUUUAUGGAGAGCUUACGGGAGCUUCAGGUAUUGACCAGAACCUCCUCCUCAACACUUUUCUGAAACCUUGGGAAGAGCCUACUUUGCU